GCGCCAUGUAUAUAUGACUUGAUUGCAAUUUACUUUUUGGUUUUAGGUAUGUGCCUGCUAAUUUCUUGAGUGAGCUCUUCCUUCAAAAUGGUGCAAAUUUCUUCUGUUUUGGCCGUCGCUUUUAUCUACAGUUAGGUGCAGUAGAGCUCCUGGUAGAUUAAUUCAGAGCGAAUUUGGGUGUUGUUGAUGCAGUGCGGCAGGCCUGUUUGCGCAGUCCAGCACUCUUUCUUGGGGAUGUUCUUCUGGUGAACCUCUUUUUUCCUAAAAAUUAAUGCAGUACAUUAUCAUCGACUAUGCAGUUGAGAUAUGGCCGUGCAGCUCGGAGAACCAUCUCUUUCCAUUGGUCGGUGGACCAUGGCCGUGCAGCUCGGAGAUGCUCGCCAUGUGGUUCCGGACUUGUGUGUGUGCAGUCGAGAGAGCGCCAUCUCCAUCUCUUCCCGUGUGGUCCGUCAACCAUGGUUGUGCAGCUCGCAGACGCUCGUCGUUCGGUUCAGGGCUCAUGCGUGUGCAGUCCUGCGAGGGCCAUCUCUUCCCUUGCUCGUAAGGUUCUUUUGAUUCUGUUCUGCUAAUUGAGAUUUUGUUUUUUCGGUUGGUUUUGCUGGUGACAGGGGUUCUGGAGGUACCUUCUGAAGAAGAACCUUGAUGCCCGGUGGCUGCAAGGGUUCCGUUGCGCCAUGUUUGGGAUCGGCGAUUCAGGCUACAAGAGAUUGCUGCAAAGAAGCUCCGUACAAGGCUUUCACAGCUUGGUGCAAAAUCGAUCAUAGUGAUUGGAUUGGGAGAUGACCAAGACUCUUCAGGAUAUGAAAAAGCUCUAGGUCCUUGGCUGCUGUCUUUCUGGAAAUCACUGAAUCGAAAAAAUCCGUCGCUUUUACCAAGAAUUCAGGCUCGUCCGCAGGCACUCGGACGAGCGUCCAAGUACUCCGAUGAAUGUCCCGUGCACAUCUGCGCCUCUACCACAAACAUUCGGAAAAAAGAGGAUUCCCCUAGUGUGGAAAAUAGAUAGCUCUGGAAUCUACUCCUCACAAUGGUUAUAUGCUGCUUUCAACUUCUCUGUGUAGUGAGUUGUAUUUUGUGUGUGGAUGAUUGUAACAUGGAGACAGAAGAAAAAAGAAAGGGAUGCAUUUUUGUUACGCUG